rnacentral:rRNA from 1 species
AUUGAACGCUGGCGGCAUGCCUUACACAUGCAAGUCGAACGGCAGCACGGGGCAACCUGGUGGCGAGUGGCGAACGGGUGAGUAAUGCAUCGGAACGUACCUUUCAGUGGGGGAUAACGUAGCGAAAGUUACGCUAAUACCGCAUAUUCUGUGAGCAGGAAAGCAGGGGAUCGCAAGACCUUGCGCUGAUUGAGCGGCCGAUGUCAGAUUAGCUCGUUGGUGAGGUAAAGGCUCACCAAGGCGACGAUCUGUAGCGGGUCUGAGAGGAUGAUCCGCCACACUGGAACUGAGACACGGUCCAGACUCCUACGUGAGGCAGCAGUGGGGAAUUUUGGACAAUGGGGGCAACCCUGAUCCAGCCAUGCCGCGUGAGUGAAGAAGGCCUUCGGGUUGUAAAGCUCUUUCGGCCGGGAAGAAAUCGCACGGGCUAAUACCCUGUGUGGAUGACGGUACCGGAAUAAGAAGCACCGGCUAACUACGUGCCAGCCGCCGCGGUAACAC